rnacentral:piRNA from 1 species
UAAGCAUUGCCUGUUAAAUUGAGGUGGAC